rnacentral:tRNA from 2 species
GCGUGAUUCGUAUAGAGGUCUAAUACUCUCGGCUUCCACCCGAGGAACCACGGUUCGACUCCGUGAUCCCGCACCA